rnacentral:rRNA from 1 species
AGCAGUAGCCGCGGGAAUACAGAGGGUGCAAGCGUUAAUCGGAAUUACUGGGCGUAAAGCGCGCGUAGGUGGUUUGUUAAGUUGGAUGUGAAAGCCCCGGGCUCAACCUGGGAACUGCAUCCAAAACUGGCAAGCUAGAGUACGGUAGAGGGUGGUGGAAUUUCCUGUGUAGCGGUGAAAUGCGUAGAUAUAGGAAGGAACACCAGUGGCGAAGGCGACCACCUGGACUGAUACUGACACUGAGGUGCGAAAGCGUGGGGAGCAAACAGGAUUAGAGACCCCGGUAGUCCCUGUCUCUUAUAC